rnacentral:rRNA from 1 species
CGGGGUGAGUAACGCGUGGGUAACCUGCCUCAUACAGGGGGAUAACGGUUAGAAAUGACUGCUAAUACCGCAUAAGCGCACAGUACCGCAUGGUACGGUGUGAAAAACUCCGGUGGUAUGAGAUGGACCCGCGUCUGAUUAGCUAGUUGGUGAGGUAACGGCCCACCAAGGCGACGAUCAGUAGCCGACCUGAGAGGGUGACCGGCCACAUUGGGACUGAGACACGGCCCAG